CGUGCCUAGGGGGGCAGCAGUGAGGAAUAUUGGUCAAUGGACGCAAGUCUGAACCAGCCCUGCCGCGUGCAGGAUGACGGCUCUAUGAGUUGUAAACUGCUUUUGUACGAGGGUAACCCCCGAUACGUGUAUCGGGUUGAAAGUAUCGUACGAAUAAGGAUCGGCUAACUCCGUGCCAGCAGCCGCGGUAAUACGGAGGAUCCGAGCGUUAUCCGGAUUUAUUGGGUUUAAAGGGUGCGUAGGCGGUUUGAUACGUUAGAGGUGAAAUGUCGGGGCCCAACCCCGAAACUGCCUCUAAUACCGUU
rnacentral:rRNA from 1 species